UAGUCCACGCCGUAAACGAUGGACACUGGCUGUUGGGAUUAAUCUCAGCGGCUAAGCGAAAGUGAUAAGUGUCCCACCUGGGGAGUACGAUCGCAAGAUUGAAACUCAAAGGAAUUGACGGGGGCCCGCACAAGCGGUGGAGCAUGUGGUUUAAUUCGAUGAUACGCGAGGAACCUUACCAGGGCUUAAAUGUAAUAUGACAGGACUAGAGAUAGUUUUUUCUUCGGACAUAUUACAAGGUGCUGCAUGGUUGUCGUCAGCUCGUGCCGUGAGGUGUCAGGUUAAGUCCUAUAACGAGCGCAACCCCUGCCGUUAGUUGCCAGCAUUUAAAGAUGGGGACUCUAGCGGGACUGCCGGUGCAAACCGAGAGGAAGGCGGGGAUGAUGUCAAAUCAUCAUGGCCCUUAUGGCCAGGGCUACACACGUGCUACAAUGGUAUCGACAAAGGGUCGCAACAUGGUGACAUGAAGCCAAUCCCAAAAACGAUAUCUCAGUUCGGAGUUG
rnacentral:rRNA from 1 species